AGUAGGGCUUUAUAACGUUACAUUCAGUAGUAUGUUAGUAGUAGUGAUUGUAAUUAUUAGUGUUUGACCAUAUCUUGGCAAAAUACUGCAAAAGAAAGCUAGAAAACGACCCGUUUUGCAUUAGAGUCAAUGGAGCGCAGCCAUGAAAGUGUCGGACCUCAGUUAUAGCGAGCCCUAUCCUGCGCUGUGAUUGGCCAGCUGUGUCCAGGAGGAGAGCUUUUGCUCAGUCUCGGUCUACCUUUUCUAUGGGGCACAUUUAGAACAGACAUCAGGAUAAUCUUUUCACAUCAGACUGUAAUGCCGCACUCAGUCAACUCUAAAGAGAAGGGAGGCAAGUGAUCAACCUGAGGGCAAGAGACGUACAGUAUGUACAUCUGAGAGACACACGUGGUUGAGCUAGAUGCCGGUACAGCAGGGUUACCCUGUCUGGUCACUGCUUUCAGCAUGCCUCUCCUUCUCCCUGUCUCUCUGUACUGCCUGUUUUGUGACCAGAUACCAUUAUUUUACCAGAAGAACAGUCACUGAGCUGGAUGAUCAUUUUAAUUUGAUACAUUGAAUAUUCUGUUUGUAUCACUGGUUUGUGGAUAAAGAACAGUGUACAUGCAGCCCUGUCUGACAGGUGUCUGAGACUGUUAUUAUCCCUCUCUUCAAUGCUCCCAGACUCCUUUAGACAAAUUUUACCAUGCAGAACACAGGAGUUGCUGGUCUACAGCUGCCUCAAUUAGUUAGUUUGUUUAUGUUAUUGUGUGACCAACUGAGACAGGUGUGGGUUCCAGAUGUGUCUAUUUGUGAAUGUUGGUAGGGCUUGUGAGCAUGUCUGUAUGUACAUUAGUUAGAAAAAGGAAAAGCACACAGAGGAAGGUAUACAAGAUCCUACACCGCACACAAACCGUGGAAUUUACAAUCACUUAGCAGGUUUUGGAUUCCACUCCUGAUAGUUUCGCUAUUGUCUCAAGAGUUAACACAAGCAAAACACAGAUCUUAAUUACAUGGUAAAACAUCAAAAGUGGUUUCAACUUUGAGGUGUGAAUUAACAGACAGAGAGAUUUUGGUGCUGCUUUCUUCGUUACAUGCCAUUUGUUAUUUAGAGGCCACUUUAUGAAGGCUUUGCCAUAGGAUGAGGUUCCAACGUUUUUUAAUGAUCUACUUUACCUGUAAGUGUGACACGUUUGUUCAAAAGCCAUAACGGCAUAUCUGGUUUCCCUCAGGCUCAGUUACUAAUUGGGAUUCAAAUAUUUCACCUAUAAACUCAGUGUCAUGCAGUCUUGAUUGUUGUUCCAUGAGUAAGUGCUGCAAAAUGAGUUCCAAUUAAGAGGUAAUUGCAGUGCUGUUGAGCAGUAACAAGUUGCUAAUGAAAAUCCUGGGCUUAUGAUGGAACUGGGAGAUUGCUUUUAAAAUUAGGCUGCUUCACCAGUUUUGCUCUCUGUGGAUGAAGGAAUUAGACAGCAUGGGUCUGGGAAGUCCUGGCUAAUUACUCUCAAAUCCCAGUGAAGUCCAUUUGUGGCAAUUAUUGCCCUGUGAUUGCCUUUGUACCAUCUCAUCUCACAAAGCUGCUCACAAUUUCUAUUUGAAUUUCUCACAAACUGUGUUGUUUUGGCACCUUUUCACGUAUUGGCACCUUGCCACAUAUUGUUAUUUUUAGUAAUUUGAGCCCAAGAUAAUUGACUGAUAAUAUUUAAAGGUACAGUAUGUAAGAAUCUACUACUCUCCACCUGUUGUUCACACUCCAAAAAUAUAAGGACAGUAUUUCACACAUCAGGUCAAAAUUAUGACAGUUUAGGCUGCAUUUUAGAUAAUAUUUAACCAAAUACAUGUUGUGAGAUGUGCAACAUUCUUUUCUUAUCUCUGAUAAAAGCCUGAUUAAUUUAAUGGGGCGUGAUUUACUGUGUAAAAUGCAUGCUACUCAGAGAGGAAUCUGUAUUUAUUAAGUGCCUGUACCUGUGCUUUAUGGACGGUAGCUGCACGAGGACACACACCCUUCCACGCCGUCAUGCCAAUCUAGUCCGCAGUCGGGGUCUGAACCUGCACCUGUGGCGCUUCCAUGUCUGCUCCCCACGGGGUUUUAGUAAAUUGACAUCCGUUAGAGGUGUCUCUUGUCACAACAGGCAACCCCUCGCUGGUGACAAAGGGGGCCUUCUGCCUCCCCCUAUUGGUAGAAGUGGUUCUGACCAGCUUGUGGUUUGGAGUGGUCCUUAUUAAAUGUGGAGCAUUCUUAAAUGGUUGCUCAGUAUUUUGCUGUACAGGAUGCUGUGCGUUUUGUUGUGGUUAUUUUAGUGUGUGCAAAGUUCCCUUGCAGUGCUGUGUUAUAGGGUGGAAGGACAGCCCCGGUGACCAUUAGGGGUUGACCUUUGUGAGGGCUCUCUGCCUUCCUUGCUACAUUUCACUGGGGGGUAGCUUCUGUGUAGUGAAGCUUCAUUUAAUGUAAAGUAGCUAGUAGCUAGGCUCACUACAUUUUCCAAGUAGCUUGCCCAACACUGUUAAUAAAUUUGUUCAGUUGUGUGACAAGAACUAUCUCACCGUUAACACUAAAAAACUGAGGAGAUGGUGUUUGACCCUCGGUCAGUGGGGGAUGAUACCCCACUGACCAUUCACAGGUCACUUCUUAUAAGUAUCUGUGUAUCCACCUGGAUAAACUCUUAAGCUGGAGUGAUCAUGUUGACUAUGUAUGUUCCUGUCACAAACCCCCGGUCGUGACCCUGACCUUCCUGUUGGGAUGUGUGUGUGUGAUAGUAGUUUUGAGUUCUUUUCCCCUUGGGAUGUUUACGGUGUGCUUGGUGUGUUUUGGUUUUUGUCUGUCUCUCUGUGAUCUGCUUCCUCCCUCAUGCUCUGGGGCUGCUGGUGGGCGUGGUUGCCUGAGCUCCUGUUGACGCACCUGAGACUCAUCCAUUUAAUCAGCACACCAGUGCCUCAGCCUACAAUCAACCCACCUUAAAAGACCAGCCCAACCUUCCAGUCCCCGCUGGAUUGUUGUCCCACACACAUACCUGCUCAUGCAUGACUCGGAUUCCCUCCUGCGCCACGAAAAUCCCUGAGCUCUGGAACCAGGACCACAUGCCCCUUGGAACAACCACCCAUCCUCAAGCCACACCUGUCUCUCCCUUGUGUUCAAUAAAUCGUUACACUGCUCAUA